rnacentral:rRNA from 1 species
AUGGCGUCCCACAUCAUUCUCCCCAAGGAGGAGGAGGAGGAGGAGGUGGAGGAGGGGCUGGGCGUGGCGGUGGAGGCGGACCACGACUUGCCGGAGCCGCCGCGGUACCGGCACUUGCAGCCGGCCCAGAAGGCGCUCCCCUUCUCGGCUACGUGCGUGCGGAUCUCCCGCGACUCCUACCCCAACCUCCGCGCCCUCCGCAACGCCUCCGCCACGAGCCUCCGCGACGACGACGACGCCUUCGCCAAGCUCGACGAGGGCGACUACGGCUACGUCCUCGACGAUGUCCAGCACCUCACCGAUUACCUCCCCGAACUCCCCACUUUUCCUAACCCAUUGCAAGAUCACCCUGCCUAUUCAACUGUCAAGCAAUAUUUUGUCAAUGCAGAUGAUACCGUACCUGAAAAGGUGGUUGUUCAGAAGAACAGCCCACGUGGAGUUCACUUCCGUCGUGCCGGGCCUCGCCAGAGGGUCUACUUCGAGCCAGAAGAUGUGAAAGCAUGCAUUGUGACAUGUGGUGGCCUUUGCCCUGGGCUCAAUACUGUCAUUAGAGAGUUGGUGUGUGGCUUAUCCCACAUGUACAAUGUCAACGAUGUCUUCGGAAUACAGAAUGGAUACAAAGGCUUCUAUUCGAGCAAUUAUCUUCGCAUGACACCAAAAAGUGUCAAUGAUAUCCACAAAAGGGGUGGUACAGUUCUUGGAAGUUCACGUGGUGGUCAUGAUACCCAUAAGAUUGUCGAUAACAUUCAAGAUCGUGGAAUUAAUCAGGUUUACAUUAUUGGAGGAGAUGGAACUCAGAAGGGAGCAUAUGAGAUAUUCAAGGAAAUCCGGAGACGUGGUCUAAAAGUCGCUGUUGCUGGUAUCCCCAAGACUAUUGAUAAUGAUAUAGCGGUUAUAGACAAGUCCUUUGGUUUUGACACUGCUGUAGAAGAGGCCCAACGUGCCAUUGAUGCCGCUCAUGUGGAAGCUUCAAGUGCUGAGAACGGAAUAGGCUUGGUGAAACUGAUGGGUCGCUAUAGUGGGUUUAUUGCAAUGUAUGCUACGCUGGCAAGCAGAGAUGUGGACUGCUGCUUAAUUCCUGAAUCUCUGUUUUAUUUGGAGGGGGAGGGUGGACUCUUUGAGUAUAUAGAAAGAAGGCUGAAGGAGAACAACCACAUGGUCAUUGUAGUGGCUGAGGGAGCAGGACAGGAUCUUAUUGCCAAAAGUAUACCUGUAGCAGAUCAGCUAGAUGCAUCUGGAAAUAAGCUGCUUCUUGAUGUUGGUCUCUGGUUGACUCACAAGAUUAAGGAUCAUUGCAAGAGCAAAAAGAUGGAGAUGACCAUUAAAUACAUAGAUCCAACCUACAUGAUCCGAGCCAUUCCAAGCAAUGCUUCGGACAAUGUCUACUGCACACUGCUGGCACACAGUGCCAUUCAUGGUGCAAUGGCAGGAUAUAGCUUCACAGUGGGAAUGGUCAACGGCAGGCAUGCAUACAUACCAUUUCAUAGAGUGACAUCAACACGGAGCAAGGUCAAGAUCACGGACAGGAUGUGGGCAAGGCUGCUGUCAUCAACAAACCAGCCAAGCUUCCUGAGCAAGGAGGAUAUCAUGGAGGCACGAGAGGCCGAAAGGUUGGCCAAUAGGCUACCUGUGCCUGCGGGCAGCAGCGAGCAUACGAAGAAACACUCAGCGUCGGUACUGUCAAACGCCUCCGGCGAUGUCCAAGGAGCACCCACGUUGACGUUGUCACAGCUGCACCAGCCUGCCGCCGCCAUUACGGUUCCUGCACCGCCGUCAUCCGCGACGGCUGGCACGGCCAGCGUGGCAGUGAUCGACCCCGACGACCGCAACCGGACCUCGGGAACGGGAAGAGACGCCGGAACGAGAGACCGGAGCACGGCAAGAGGCCGAGGAAGCUGA